CCUACGGUGGGCAGCAGUCGAGAAUAAUUCACAAUGGGGGAAACCCUGAUGGUGCGACGCCGCGUGGGGGAAUGAAGGUCUUCGGAUUGUAAGCCCCUGUCAUGUGGGAGCAAAAUAAAAAGAUCGUACCCCUAGAGGAAGAGCCUGCUAACUCUGUGCCAGCAGCCGCGGUAAUAAAGAGGUAUCAAGCGGUUUUCGGAAUCACUGGGCGUAAAGGCUGAGUAGGCUGUUUCGUACGUCGUGAGUGAAAGGCGCGGGCUCAACCCGCGGACGGCACAUGAUACUGCGAGACUCGGGUGAUGGAGGGGGAACCGGAAUUCUCGGUGUAGCAGUGAAAUGCGUAGAUAUCGAGAGGAACACUCGUGGCGAAGGCGGGUUCCUGGACAGUAACUGACGCUGAGGCACGAAGGCCAGGGGAGCGAAAGGGAUUAGAUACCCUUGUAGUC
rnacentral:rRNA from 1 species